UGUGAGUGUGAGAGCGAGAACAGCCCGGCAGGUCCCGAGGCGCGGGCUGGGGACUGUGCCGCGGAAAGUUCCCAGUCCCCAGCCGCAGGUAAACGCAGAGGGAAUAGACAGAGGCUCCCCCGUUUGCAUCAGCAAAUGCGAAAACAUAAUAGCAACAGCAGCGGCAUCCUCUCUCCGGAGCGGGGUUUCCAAUGACGCUAACAUUCUUUUUCCUUUAAGUACAGAACGGUCCCCUGCGGCUUCCCGCUAAUGGAUGACCCGAGAGUGACACCGCCACAACCUGCGAGAAAAGGAGAGCCCCUUCCCCGCCCCGAGAUCUGCGGGAUUGAAAUGAAAAAAUCUUGAGCUCUUCCAGCUGACUCAUCAGAAUCCUGGAGCAAUUUUUUUUUUUUUUAAUGACGAAAUGGAAGAAAAAAAAUUUAAAUUGUCAAUAAGAAGUCUUUCAAACACCAGACUCGGCCAGGAUUGAGCUAGAUGGUUCCUGACGUUUGUCAUUUCCAGUGCAGAGAGCAAACUCAGAGGACCCGGACUGUACUGCAUCUCUUAUGGGUGUCCAUGAAAUCGGUUUAUUCGUAGUAGUGUAACCUAACCUAAGAGGUGGGAAGGCAGGGCUUUGAAGACAAUGGCACAGACACACUGUGUUAGUUUUUGUCCCUCUACUUUAUUUAGAGAGAGAAUGUUGACUACAGUUUCUAGAAAAGAUUUAUAGCAUGUGCUAUACAUUUUUAGUUGUAUAUAUACUAACAUUUGUAGUUAAAGGGAACUCUUUAGAGACUGUGCUCUGAACUCAACAGAGAGCAAACUAAUCCAUGUUUUGGGAACUGGGAACACUGGAUAUUCCAUUAAAGCAUUACCUGAUAUUCCAAGUAGAAAUGUUCUUCUCCAUUUUGUUUAACCUAGUUAAUAUUGGUGCGGCUUCACAUUUCAGUGUCUUUCAGUUAUCAGACGGGGCCAGCAUUUUGUUAAACUCUAAACAGUGAAUUAAAAGCACUGAUGAGCUGAAGCAGCCCUCUAAUGCAAAAUGACAAAUUGCACUUAAGCAAUACAUGAAGAAGAAAAUGAUUUAUGGAUUUUUACAAUGGUCUGAGCAAAUGAAAGCAACAUGAAUUAUACAUCCUAAUGCUCACGAUAUCAUUUUCUAAUAAUACUGUUUCAGUUCAGAUGCUACACUCUCAUCCUUUCUAUAAGAGAUAUUGAUCAAUAGAGGUCCAGGAAUAUUUUUAAAUUAGGCAAUGGUGUCUGAUAUGGGUUCCAAAUAUAUAUAUAUUUCCUGAGUAUGGGGAGAGUGAACAUUGAACAUACUAACAUUCUAGGCAGCUCCUUCACAUAUUGUGUCUUUGAGUGAUAAACAGACCUUUGGAAACUUCUGUUUCCUUCCACACCUUCUUUCAGAAUGCAAAUAAGUAGAUCUAAUUUAGAAUGACAAUCUUUAUUUUAUCAUGACCUCUUUCUCUGAAAAUAAAAAAAAAAAAAUGUGAUUUCAUCUUAACUUUUCCCUUCAUUGCUUUUGAUAUUGAAAAAUCUGAUUUCUCCAAAAUAUCUCUUACCUUCUUCAUAUUUGUCUAUCCUAUUUUUCCAGAACAUUGUUUAAUUCUUUAGUGUGUUAAAGACACCCCUGAGUUAGUAAAAAGGUCAUAUACCGUAGUUUUGUUUUGGCCUUAGUAGACAGAAUAGAUCUUAUGACUGUCUUAAAUUACAGGGAAAAAAAAUCAGUCAGAUAAAAUUUUAUGGGGUGGUUGUUUUUUGACUCUGGAAAAAAAAAAGUGUAGUUACUUCUGUGUGAUGAUGAGUGACUACUCCUAGCACUUUUAUUUAACCAUUUGUAGCUUAUAUAAGUAUUUUAGGGUGUGGGUAGAAUUUUAAGUGAAGGCAGUGUCUUUGCUGUAUUACAUACUCAACCACAGGAAACUCCUAAUUCCAAAGCCCCUAAUUCUGGGGCUUCCAGAGCUAUAUUAUCAGGCUUGAUCUUAAUUAUCUAGGUUUAUUAAAAAAAAAAAAAGCAAAAGAAAAAAAAUUGAAUCACAGGUUCUGCUUUUGACAGCAUUAAUAAUCACUCUUACUGAAAGUUUACUGAAAUCAAUGAUGUGAUUAGGAUUGUAAAUAAGAACUACAAGACAUCACAUUUAAAAGGCAAGCUGCUUUGCUAACAUGAGUGAUAUGCGGGUUUUACUGAUGGGGCCCAAAGGUAGAAAUGAAGGUUUGAACAUUAAGAUCGAUUUAGAACAAUUUCAAAAAUUAAUUGCAAGCCCUGAUUAAAUUUAUAUAAGUAAGAAGAAAGGUGUCUAGAAGUCUGUGUUUUUUCCUCCCCAGUGUAUUUGCUUCUUAUCUGACAAUGAUACAGUCAGCAUAAUGCUAGUGUUUGGCAAGUAUAAAUUGUUUUCUUAAGGGGAAGCCCCUUGAGUUUAUAAAUACAAAAUGAGAUUAUCCAAAUUGUGAUUAGGGUUACAAGCCAUAGCAUUAUUUUCUGAAGAGUUCAGAAAUGUUAUUGGAGACAGACACCAUGCAAAGAAUAUCAAAUGUAACUUGAGAAUUGCACUAGUAAUUAGUAAUUGGAAUUACAAUAGUAAACAGUAAAUAGAUACUUCAAUAAAAGAAUUAUCUAUUUCAGUUUGACUGCCUGCUUAGUUGGUAUAAUUCUUUGUGUUAGAAACUUGAUUUCCACGAUGUCUUAUUUAAAUGGGUCUAGCAGUGCUAUACUGUAAAAUGGCUAUAUUUUAUUAGACUUCUUGUUUUGUUUGUUUUGUUUUAGAGGAAACUGAUUAUUGACUUUUAAACAUCCAGUGUAUUCCAAGCAUUCUUACAUAAGUUAUCAAAUCUCUCUCCAGGUCUCUAGGUAUUAUCAUUUCAACAUGAUAAGGUAAAGAUACUAAGGAUGUUCAGAAUUUAAGUAACUCACAAAACUAAUACAAAAUUCAUAUGCAGGCCUUUUGAUGCUCAUGUGAAGGCUUACUUUCCUACAUCAUGAUAUUUUUCUAGUUUGAGUUAGAUUUACUUAAGAGGUAAAACAAACAAACAAACAAAAAGAGCUGAUUUAGAGGUGGGGUUCAUCCAGAUUUUGUACAGACAAGAGUACUGGUUUUCUAUUCUAGGCAAAAUGGCUAAAAUAUUGAGUUGAGCCAUGGAGAGAUUCAUAAAUUAAUUUAAGGAGGAGUUUUUUAAAUUUUGUGUGUGUGUGUGUACGUGUGUGUGGAUUGUCAGGGAACCCAAGCUUGAUUAUGUUUUCUUACUAGACUGAAUGGUUUAUAGCAGUCAUCUCUUUCUCAUGUAGAAGCGCCUGACAUGGGAAUUGUAGGUUUUAAUGACUGAAAAUGGAAAUUGAUACAACAAACGUGUCCAAAAGGAAGCUGUCUCUGCUUUAUCCAGUCCUGAAAAGUACAAUGUUGAUCAAUGGUCCCAGAAGUAUUGCCUUAGUUUAUCAGAGUUUGUUAAAAGCUGGAAAAAACCCCAAGCAGUGUAUCAACUUGAUACAAUUCAAAUAUUAGUUCUUAUUUUGUGUAUAUUUCUGAACUGGUCUUUGAUUUAAAAGGAAAACUGUUAUACUCACGUGAAAUUUCAGCUCUCACUUUAUACUCAUUUCUUCAGUGUUGCUUAGAAAAGAUUGUUUUAACUUGAAAUUUCGAAGUUGAACAAAUUUAUUUGACAAUUUUGUGCCAGCAGAAAAUGGAAGUAAUCAACUUUAAAACAAUUUUAAUACAGAAAGAAAUAAUCAAAGAAAGAUGAUUAUGGAAACUUAAUUACCCACUGUAAGUAAAAUAUGUAUUAUUAUGGUGAUAAUAAGUAUUGACGGAGGAGAAUAUCAUGUUUCUUUUAGAAGAAACUAACUGUAUCCAGCCACUCAGAGUAUGUGUGAUGUAAGCCCUAUAGGAUAGGCUCUAUGUCUUACUCAUCUCUAACAGCACCCAACUGUGGCAAGCAAUGAUACAUCAGUAAAUUAUGAAGAACAUAAGCUUAAGAAUUAAGCCAAAUUGGGCUCAAAUCCCUGCUUCUCAAAAUAUCUGAACUUGGACACAUUACUUAACUCCUUUGAAACUGUCAAUGUGUCAAACAUGCUGAACAUCUGUUAAAGUAUGAUGAUAUAUAUUGACCUUGUUGAGUCAUUGUGAGGCUUAACUAAAAUACUCUCUGUAAAAUUCUUGGCUCAUGGUAGACUCUCAAAAAAUGUUAAAUAUUAUUAUAGCGAGAUGUUUUGAAUGAGGUGUCUUUAAAUAAGACACUUAUUAAGAAUAAUUGGCAUUGAUUCCUAGUGGCUUUAUUUCCCUUAUGGAACACAAACUAAAAUAUUUACUUUGAGGUGCAAAAACAAUUCCACGUGGUUUCUGUUUUAUAGGAAAUUAUAAUAUAAACUUGAAGAUUGGAUGCAAAUAAUAAAGAAGAAGAUUAAACUAACAAAAUUUUA